UCAUUAUUGAAUAAACUUGAUCAGGUUGUUCUGCUGGCCCUUCUCUGGGGGGUAUGUGCACGCCUGUCAUCUUUAUAUUCUCCCAACUGUGCACAUUUUGUAGACCUGAUUGAAAUUGAUUGAUUCAAUCUUUCGAGUUGGGGACUGCUGCGCUUUUCUUCAAGUCGGCUUUCCCUUGUAUUUUUUCAGGUCUACGUCAUUAUCAUAAACCUAUGAAUCUGUUUUAGAAUGUUGAAUUGGGUCCUUUUGUACCUAUAAAGUUAAAUAUACAACUUUCAGCAACGGAUCUCUUGGCUCUCGCAUCGAUGAAGAACGCAGCGAAAUGCGAUAAGUAAUGUGAAUUGCAGAAUUCAGUGAAUCAUCGAAUCUUUGAACGCAUCUUGCGCUCCUUGGUAUUCCGAGGAGCAUGCCUGUUUGAGUGUCAUCUUAAUCCUCAAAACCACAUUUGAUUCUUUCGGUGUGGCUUUGGAAGUGGGGGUAUAAUUUGCAGGCCUCGUCUUAUAAAAAUGAAGUCUGCUCCCCUGAAAUGCAUUAGUGGUAUCUGAGCCAAAGAACUACUACAGGUGUGAUAAUUUAUCUAUGCCUUGGUAAUAACUGCAGGAACGGAUUGCACUGCUUAAUAACCAAAAACUUUAAUUUUAUUUUUGGAAGACCUC
rnacentral:misc_RNA from 1 species